AUUUUGUAUAUAGUUGUCAAUUAAAGCUGUACUGAGAAGAGCUGAAUGUUGUGAAGAAGCCAGACAACGAGAUGAGAAGCUCCUGGGAUGAGUGACCAUCAGGCCAUCUGCAAAUUAACUGAGUGAAUUACCCUCGCCUGGCUUCUGCCUCAUCUGUUCCAUACCAAAUUAUAUCUACACGGUUCCUGCUGUCACAUACCUGCCUCAGGCAAAGCCUCCUGUUUGGAUUUUUCAUUCUUGUAUUUAUGGUUACCAUGAGCCUUGAGGUUGACAACAAUUUAUUUUUUAUUUGAUGAUAUUGAUGAUUCUCAUAUUCUAAAAGUUUGGGAGAAAAUUACGGUGAAUUUUUGCAAGAAUUCAGAGAAUCAGAGGCCUGAAGGGCCAGGAGAGAGAAAAGAGGCAAGAUUUUUUAUUGGUAAGUUUUUUCAAUACUAUACAUAACUUUUUGCAAUCUUAAAAUAAUUUUCUGAAGGAUUAUUACAUUUAACACUAAGAUUUGGUAGGAAAGGUAAGGAAUUGUUCUGCAAUGAAUAAGGAAACAGAAACAGACAGUGGGAAAGCAACUCAUCCAAAGUCACAGACAUAAUGGCAGCACUGGGGCUACAACU
rnacentral:lncRNA from 1 species